GGGCCACCGUGCGCCCUGCAGGGUAGGAACUCUGUGUCCCGCCAGCCAGGAGAGAGCUGGUCAACCUUCAGAUGACGGCUGCGAUUCCUCUUGGUGAUGCUUGUCAGACACACGUGCUGAGCUGCUCUGACCUCCAGCUCCUCUUGUUCUUUCCUCCAUCCAGGCCCUGAAGCUGAUCACCGCCAUCUGCUCCUUCCUCCUCCUUGCUCUCAGGGCGGACCCUCUGCUGGGUCAGCAUACGCUGCCAAGGAGUCCACUGGGCCAUGUCAGGAACCAGCACUGGAUGCAUCUGGGGGCUUUCUGCAUCUUUAAGCCUGGUGAGAGAAAGAUAUCAGCUCUGUGGAAGCACUGGGAUUCACAUUUCAAGUUAUGAGAUGGCAGUCGAUGGCUGCAAGUACAUAGAGACGCAGAGAUGCAGCGGUCCCCUCUUCUCGCCUUUUGCAGUUUCCCCGCACAGCCUGGCACCUGCGUUGGCAUUUGCUGUCUGGGUCUGGCUCCUGACCAGAGUCCCACCCUCACAGAGACCUCAGGUAUCUGGGCCUCCCUCCCCGGCUGUGAAUCAUCAGAGGUGCUGAGUCUUCUCCCACUUUGAGUUACUGGCAGAGGUGUUGUUUCUUCCUAUAAGAGGAGGGAGAGAGUUGCUAAGGAACACAUUAACACGCUGACGACGCAACAAUCUCCGAGAGCUUGGGCCUCCAACGUUUGACUCUAAUCAGGAAAUCAUUUUUAGAAGGAUAUGUCGGUGUAAGAAAACAAGCUCCCGAACUAAAUUAGGAUCUGGAUUAUUUUUUCCUCCUCUCCCAAUCUGCCUCACACGGCAGAUUGGUGAGCCCUCGCGGUUCUGCGCAUGGCGAAUUUGUUUCUGUUGCGCAUUUUAAUUCAGAGCUCCGGAAGGUGAAGGUGUCUGUGUUUCUAAGGACUGCCGUUUUUUGGAGCAGCUCCCUUGGAGGUGUGGGGCUUGCCUCUCCUUUCCUCAAACCAGUUGGCUUUCUUGGCAAGGCAGCCCAGGUUUCAGGAUUCUUUAAUCUGAUUGUCUUUUUCUUUUUUUUCCCCCUGCCAGUAAUGAAUGCACUGCGUGUCUCUGGGAAAUUAAGGUAAUCCAUUAUACUGUUGUCUUCCUAUCUCUGCAGCAUGGAUAAUAGUAUUUAACCCACUUUUGCAAUAUACUGAGUGGCCUGUCAGGGUCUCUUCUUUAGAAGGACAACUUGAAAACAUUUUAAUAAAUGCUCCUUAACUAUAUGCUUUAAAAAUACAUGGGGCCAAAUGGCAAACAACUCAGUAAUAACUAGUUCAGCAAUGCAGACUGGCCAUUCAUCACUCUCUCUGCAAUUUCCUCUCUUCUCCUCUUUCUCUUUCCACAUCCUUCCAUUUCUCCAGGGACACCUUGUUUCUCUUUGGGGUUAGAAUCUGGGGAGAAUCUAGAGGUUUGGUAGUUAUGGUCCCUGCUGCCUGUGAAAAUCCAACUGCUUCUUCAGUUGGGAAAGCUGUUGACUUUCACGCUCUGUGAGGCUCUCAGUGAACCCUGUGCUGAAGGACAGAAGUGGGUGCCCUCUUGGUGAUGUCACAGAAAGAUUGGGUAUAGCUGGAUGCGGUGCCCUCUUGGUGAUGUCACAGAAAGAUUGGGUAUAGCUGGAUGCAGGCCCUCUGUUACAUGCCUGUGGUUUCAUUUCCAGUGCAGGUAAUGACCUAAUCUAAUAACACUUGUCAUGCUGUGUGUGUGUCAAGCAGACAUUCCAUGGGCUGGAGAGGUGCCCAUCAGACUGCAGUGUGAGCCUGUUUUAGAGAUCAGAAGAAAACAGUAAGGACUGAGUCUUUAUGUGUUGGCAGGGCUGGCCUCUUGAAGGGACAUGGCAGUUAGUUGUCCCAGAGGGGAGAAGACUCUUGAGAGUCCCUUACACUCCAAGGAGAUCCAACCAGUCAAUCCUAAAGGAGAUCAGUCCUUAAUAUUCAUUGGAAGGACUGAUGCUGAAACUGAAGCUCCAGUCCUUUGGCCACCUGAUGCAAGCAGCUGACUUAUUAGAAAAGAGCCUGAUGCUGGGAAAGAUUGAAGGCGAGAGGAGAAGGGGAUGACAGAGGAUGAGAUGAUUGGAUGGCAUCACCGACGCGAUGGACAUGAGUUUGAGUAGGCUCCGGGAGUUGGUGAUGGCCAGGGAAGCCUGGCGUGCUGCAGUCCAUGGGGUCGCAAAGAGUCGGACACGACUGAGCGGUUGAAAUGAACUGAUGUGCACUCAAGAGAACCCAAUGUUCAACCGUUAGAGUUUAUUCCUUUUCGGUUCAGGGCUCUAUGGAAAUUUUUAGAAACAUGAUGGUGUUGGCUUGAGAAGACUAUUCCUCCCUUGUUUCUGUGGAUCCUGCAUGCUCCUCUUGAUUGAAGAGAUCUGUGUUAAUAAACACCCUCAAUCCUCCUGAGCCAGAGACUUCCUGGAUAAAAAGACCUUAUCUAUAAGAAGACUCCAGGACCAAAUGGGCAUCUGGGUUAAUCUUAGUGUCCUGGUUUCUCCACCUCGUAAGAGACAUGGUUUAGAUGAGUUGGCAAAAGAUGGGUUUAGAUGAAUUCUCUAUGAAAAAGUGUGUAACGUAGGAG
rnacentral:lncRNA from 1 species